rnacentral:rRNA from 1 species
GACGAACGCUGGCGGCGUGCUUAACACAUGCAAGUCGAACGAAGUGGCGAACGGGUGAGUAACGCGUAAUCAACCUGCCCUUCAGAGGGGGACAACAGUUGGAAACGACUGCUAAUACCGCAUACUGAAGGAGGGGAUUGCGUCUGAUGAGCUAGUUGGAGGGGUAACGGCCCACCAUGGCGAUGAUAAGUAGCCGGUCUGGGAUGAUGAACGGCCAAAUUUGGACUGAAGCCCGGCCCAGACUCCUACGGGAGGCAGCAGUGGGGAAUCUGCCGCAAUGGACGAAAGUCCGACGGAGCAACGCCGCGUGAGUGAUGACGGCCUUCGGGUUUUAAAGCUCUGUUAAUCGGGACGCGGUACCGAAAUAGAAAGCCACGGCUAACUACGUGCCAGCAGCCGCGGUAAUAC